ACGAACGCUGGCGGCGUGCCUAAUACAUGCAAGUCGAGCGGAAUGAAGAAGAAGCUUGCUUCUUCUGAUUUUAGCGGCGGACGGGUGAGUAACACGUGGGCAACCUACCUUGUAGAUUGGGAUAACUCCGGGAAACCGGGGCUAAUACCGAAUAAUCCAUUUUGCUUCAUGGCGAGAUGUUAAAAGGCGGCUUCGGCUGUCACUACGAGAUGGGCCCGCGGCGCAUUAGCUAGUUGGUAGGGUAAUGGCCUACCAAGGCGACGAUGCGUAGCCGACCUGAGAGGGUGAUCGGCCACACUGGGACUGAGACACGGCCCAGACUCCUACGGGAGGCAGCAGUAGGGAAUCUUCCACAAUGGACGAAAGUCUGAUGGAGCAACGCCGCGUGAGUGAAGAAGGUUUUCGGAUCGUAGAACUCUGUUGUAAGGGAAGAACACGUACGAGAGUAACUGCUCGUACCUUGACGGUACCUUAUUAGAAAGCCACGGCUAACUACGUG
rnacentral:rRNA from 1 species